rnacentral:snoRNA from 1 species
GUGUCCAUCCUAAUCCCUGCUGGCCCGGCCAUGGCCUCUGGGGAUCGCUUUGGACCAGAGCACCCUGAAAGUCCGACCCACCAGCGAGGGUCCUCUGUGGCCCUUUGCACGGUGCUUCUAGACACCC